rnacentral:rRNA from 1 species
UACGUAGGGGGCAAGCGUUGUCCGGAAUCAUUGGGCGUAAAGCGCGUGUAGGCGGUUUGGUAAGUCCGCUCUGAAAGUCCGGGGCUCAACCCCGGGAGGCGGGUGGAUACUGUCAGACUAGAGUGCGGAAGAGGCGAGUGGAAUUCCCGGUGUAGCGGUGAAAUGCGCAGAUAUCGGGAAGAACACCAAAGGCGAAAGCACUUUGCUGGGCCGAAACUGACACUGAUAGACGAAAGCUAGGGGAGCAAAUGGG